rnacentral:rRNA from 1 species
UACGUAGGGUGCAAGCGUUAAUCGGAAUUACUGGGCGUAAAGCGUGCGCAGGCGGUCUUGUAAGACAGAGGUGAAAUCCCCGGGCUCAACCUGGGAACUGCCUUUGUGACUGCAAGGCUUGAGUGCGGCAGAAGGGGAUGGAAUUCCGCGUGUAGCAGUGAAAUGCGUAGAUAUGCGGAGGAACACCGAUGGCGAAGGCAAUCCCCUGGGCCUGCACUGACGCUCAUGCACGAAAGCGUGGGGAGCAAACAGG